AUUCAGAACACUUACUAAUAAAAUAUCCUCCAAUGUCUACUUUUAUUGUGCAAGCAGCCUCCUAACUCUGCAGGACUGUGGUGUGAACGCAUAAGUGCAUAAGUGCAUGUGAGCACACCUCCACACCCCAACCAAGACUGCUAGGGAGUUUGUAGGCCCUCAUGCCCACCAUUAAUAUUAUUAUCCAAUCCAAAGGCCAAUGGAUGAAGGGUAAGAAUUUACUGAAAUUGUUAUGGAUUCACAGAAUAAUAUUUAAGCAGAAAUACUAGUGGUAAAUGC